GACGAACGCUGGCGGCAUGCCUAAUACAUGCAAGUCGAGCGAACAGAUGAAGUGCUUGCACUUCUGACGUUAGCGGCGAACGGGUGAGUAACACGUAAGGAAUCUACCUAUAAGCGGGGGAUAACAUUCGGAAACGGGUGCUAAUACCGCAUAAUAUCUUCUUCCGUAUGGAAGAAGAUUGAAAGACGGCUCUGCUGUCACUUUUAGAUGACCUUGCGGUGCAUUAGUUAGUUGUUGGGGUAAUGGUAUACCAAGACGAUGAUGCAUAGCCGACCUGAGAGGGUGAUCGGCCACAUUGGGACUGAGACACGGCCCAAACUCCUACGGGAGGCAGCAGUAGGGAAUCUUCCGCGAUGGGCGAAAGCCUGACGGAGCAAUGCCGCGUGAGUGAAGAAGGCCUUCGGGUCGUAAAACUCUGUUAUAAGAGAAGAACAAAUUGUAGAGUAACUGCUACAGUCUUGACGGUAUCUUAUCAGAAAGCCACGGCUAACUACAUGCCAGCAGCCGCUGUAA
rnacentral:rRNA from 1 species